rnacentral:rRNA from 1 species
AGUGAACGCUGGCGGUAGGCCUAACACAUGCAAGUCGAACGGCAGCACAGUAAGAGCUUGCUCUUACGGGUGGCGAGUGGCGGACGGGUGAGGAAUACAUCGGAAUCUACUUUUUCGUGGGGGAUAACGUAGGGAAACUUACGCUAAUACCGCAUACGACCUACGGGUGAAAGCAGGGGAUCUUCGGACCUUGCGCGAUUAAAUGAGCCGAUGUCGGAUUAGCUAGUUGGCGGGGUAAAGGCCCACCAAGGCGACGAUCCGUAGCUGGUCUGAGAGGAUGAUCAGCCACCCUGGAACUGAGACACGGUCCAGACUCCUACGGGAGGCAGCAGUGGGGAAUAUUGGACAAUGGGCGCAAGCCUGAUCCAGCCAUACCGCGUGGGUGAAGAAGGCCUUCGGGUUGUAAAGCCCUUUUGUUGGGAAAGAAAAGCAGCAGGUUAAUACCCCGCUGUUCUGACGGUACCCAAAGAAUAAGCACCGGCUAACUUCGUG